rnacentral:rRNA from 1 species
CCUACGGGGGGCAGCAGUGGGGAAUAUUGGACAAUGGGCGAAAGCCUGAUCCAGCAAUGCCGCGUGAGUGAUGAAGGCCCUAGGGUUGUAAAGCUCUUUUACCCGGGAAGAUAAUGACUGUACCGGGAGAAUAAGCCCCGGCUAACUCCGUGCCAGCAGCCGCGGUAAUACGGAGGGGGCUAGCGUUGUUCGGAAUUACUGGGCGUAAAGCGCACGUAGGCGGCUUUGUAAGUCAGAGGUGAAAGCCUGGAGCUCAACUCCAGAACUGCCUUUGAGACUGCAUCGCUUGAAUCCAGGAGAGGUCAGUGGAAUUCCGAGUGUAGAGGUGAAAUUCGUAGAUAUUCGGAAGAACACCAGUGGCGAAGGCGGCUGACUGGACUGGUAUUGACGCUGAGGUGCGAAAGCGUGGGGAGCAAACAGGAUUAGAUACCCGAGUAGUC